UACGGAGGGUGCGAGCGUUAAUCGGAAUUACUGGGCGUAAAGAGUGCGUAGGUGGUUUAUUAAGUUAUCUGUGAAAGCCCUGGGCUUAACCUGGGAAAGUCAGAUAAGACUGAUGGACUUGAGUAUGGGAGAGGGUAGUGGAAUUUCCGGUGUAGCGGUGAAAUGCGUAGAGAUCGGAAGGAACACCAGUGGCGAAGGCGGCUACCUGGCCUGAUACUGACACUGAGGCACGAAAGCGUGGGGAGCAAACAGG
rnacentral:rRNA from 1 species